UACGGGAGGCAGCAGUGGGGAAUAUUGGACAAUGGGGGCAACCCUGAUCCAGCCAUGCCGCGUGAGUGAUGAAGGCCUUCGGGUUGUAAAGCUCUUUUGGCGGGGACGAUGAUGACGGUACCCGCAGAAUAAGCCCCGGCUAACUUCGUGCCAGCAGCCGCGGUAA
rnacentral:rRNA from 1 species